ACUCCUCUGGCCAACAUCCUCAUCACAUAACAAACAAGAGCUCUUCUUGAAAACUCUCUGCCAAGUGAAAUGGUACAAUAGAUCUUAGUAUUGAAUAUCAUAGUAUUAUAAUUAAUUAAUCCAUGUAGAUUAAACUAUAUAUCUUGAGUUUAAUUCAGUAGUAUUGUGUACUUUUGCAGGGUAUGUUCUUGAGAAUCAUGCUUGGAUCAAUUGCAAGAUUUGUAGCUGCAUUUUUGCAGCAACCAGUUGGUCUCGUCAUGACUGUGAUAAAUGCGGUGGCAAACUUCUGCAGCAGGACUCGAGCGUUCGAGAUCGUUCUGUGGUUGGACAGGCUCUUCUUUAAUCAGACAACCAGAGGCUUCAUCCUCUGAAAGCCAUGGAAAUCAUCUUGUCCCCGGCCUGCAACAUCAGUUUCGUGUUUUUUCUAUUAUGUGUUGGACUAUGUUUGUGUUGUUUUGGUGUGUAAUAUCUAAAUAAAUGGCUGUAUUACACAGAUUUCUGCUAGCUAGCUAGAUCUGGUUACAGCAAUACUUGAAUAAAGAGUGUUUGUAUGUUUGCC
rnacentral:lncRNA from 1 species